rnacentral:rRNA from 1 species
UAUUGGUCAAUAGCUUAACGGCUGAACCAGCAACUUGGAGGAAUGUAUAGGGAAAGCUGGUAAAAUGUGAUGUACCUAGUAAUGUAAGAAAUUUUAUAAUAAUUACUUAGUAAUAUAAGUAAUAAAUAUGAGAUUUAUUCUAUAUGAUAUUAACUAAGUUAAUUAAAAUUCUAAGUAGAUGUUUGAUUAUGACAAUAUCUGUAUAGGUCUUGACCAAGUCACGUGCCAGCAGUCGCGGUAAUACGUGGAAGACAAGUGUUAUUCAUCUUUAUUGGGUUUAAAGGGUACCUAGACUGUUAAUUAAGCAAUAAGAUGUACUAAUUAACUAGAGUUUAAUGUAAGAAGGAUUGAGUACGGUGAGAGUAGAGAUAAAAUUCUUAGAUACCACUUGGGAACUGGUAACAGCGAAGGCUACCUUCAAUGUAAAAAACUGACGUUGAAGGACGAAGGA